rnacentral:RNase_P_RNA from 1 species
AAAGCAACGUGUUCUGUCGCUUCCGGCAUUAAUACCGGAAGAGGAAAGUCGGGGCAAUACAGGGCGCCAUACUUCCUAACGGGAAGGUUCCGCUGUCGGCGGAAACAGCAAGUGCCACAGAAAAUAACCGUCCCGCCUCUGGCGGGAUAAGGGUGAAAAUGUGGGGUAAGAGCCCACAGGCAGGGUUGGCGACAGCCCGGUCGGGUAAACCUUAUGGAUUGAAAGGCCAAAUAUACCGGAAAGUGCUGCCACGUGCAGCACAAGAGCGGCCCGCUCUUCCGGGGGGUAGGUCGUUUGAGCCUUGUGGCAACGCAAGGCCUAGAUAAAUGACAGGAACCAACAAUGAUUUCAUUGUAGGAACAGAACCCCGCUUACAGCGUUGUACGGCAC